rnacentral:rRNA from 1 species
UACGUAGGUGGCAAGCGUUGUCCGGAUUUACUGGGCGUAAAGAGCGCGCAGGCGGUCGUUCAAGUCGCGUGUGAAAGCCCCCCGGCUCAACUGGGGAGGGUCACGCGAUACUGAUCGACUCGAAGGCAGGAGAGGGUAGUGGAAUUCCCGGUGUAGUGGUGAAAUGCGUAGAUAUCGGGAGAACACCAGUGGCGAAGGCGACUACCUGGCCUGUUCUUGACGCUGAGGCGCGAAAGCUAGGGGAGCAA